UUAAGCUUCAGCAGUAGAUAUUCUAAAAUUGGAAUGGUAAGGAUAAGAUUAUAAGAAUGGUUUCUGCACAAAGAUGACAAAUUAAUCUGUGAAUUAAUUUCCACAUUUUU